rnacentral:rRNA from 1 species
GAUGAACGCUAGCUACAGGCUUAACACAUGCAAGUCGAGGGGAAACGAUAGAGAAAGCUUGCUUUUUCUGGGCGUCGACCGGCGCACGGGUGAGUAACGCGUAUCCAACCUGCCCAUCACUUGGGGAUAACCUUGCGAAAGUAAGACUAAUACCCAAUGACGUCUCUAGAAGACAUCUGAAGGAGAUUAAAGAUUUAUCGGUGAUGGAUGGGGAUGCGUCUGAUUAGCUUGUUGGCGGGGUAACGGCCCACCAAGGCGACGAUCAGUAGGGGUUCUGAGAGGAAGGCCCCCCCACAUUGGAACUGAGACACGGUCCAAACUCCUACGGGAGGCAGCAGUGAGGAAUAUUGGUCAAUGGACGAGAGUCUGAACCAGCCAAGUAGCGUGCAGGAUGACGGCCCUAUGGGUUGUAAACUGCUUUUAUAAGGGAUAAAGUGAGUCUCGUGAGACUUUUUGCAUGUACCUUAUGAAUAAGGACCGGCUAAUUCCGUGCCAGCAGCCG